UCUGCCUUUUGAGGCGUUGCGGUCCAACAUUAAGUUGACACUGUGUCAUAAUGGGGUAGAGAAUCCAAAGGUCUGUGUCAUCUUAGGCCUCAGUCACACAGGCCUAGAGC